GGCCUCGCGGCGUCACGUGACGCCGGCGGGGGGGGGGGGAAGCGGGGCGGUCGCCCUCAUGAAUAUUCAUGAGGCACCGUGAAUGGUGAUUCGGCCGCCGCCGCCGCCGCCUCCGGGUCGGUGCGGGACGGGGCCGCUCCAGAGGAGUUUUCCCGGAGGAGUUUUUUCCCGGAGGAGUUUUCCCGAGCGCCUGGGACGGUCCCAGCCCGAGCGCUUCCUGGCGCGCCGUUAAAGGCGUUUGUCCCGCUGAGCCCACAGAAAGGAGUGCCCGCCCGCUGGCCCGGUGCCAGAACGGGCACCCCGGGCCGUCUCGUUCCCGGUGGGAACAGCGGGGAAUGGCCGGGCGUGGAGGGCAGCCCCGUUGCCGCAGCCGGGGCUCCGUGUGAGCUCGGCCAAGCGCCGGCUGUGCUUGCCCUGUCGCCGCUUUAGAGCUGCGGGAUGAGCUCGGCUUCGCUCCGGGAUGAGCCCGGCUUUGGCGCCGGGCCACCCCCAGGUCGGGCUGGGUUACCUCCCUCACCUGCGGUGUUGAGCUGUUUGCAGUGCUCUGGCUUGACAGAAAGCUCUUUUUUUUUUUUUUAAUUGUUGCGUGAGUUUUCUGCCAGCUUGGCACGCUGUUACAGCUCUUCCGAGGCAGCGGAACUGACAUCUCUUUGGCAAUCGGCUGAUUAAAUCCCCUGGCAGCACACAGCAGAGAGCAUUUCAGCACGUCAUUCUUGCUUUUAGAAAUACACAGUAAUGGAGAGUUAUAGAUGCGUGUUAUCCUGCACAUGCUUGGUUGCCUGAAUCAUUUCAUCAUAAUGGCAUCUUGCUCUGUUGAGGGCAAGGAGCAGAAACCACACACCUGGGAUACACUCUGGAAUUUGAAGCACAUGCAGCAACAAUGCAAUCCUUUUUCAGUGAAAGAAAUGCCUUUGGAUACCUUGGUGAGUUGUUGAACCACUGGAUGGCAUGUCCUUGUCCAGAGUCUAGCCUGGCUCUGCAGGGAUUAAAAUUUGGUCCCCACGAAUGCAUGUCUGCAGAUCCUUCUGGGACAUGAGUUUGGUGCUCCAGCUUCCCCAUUAAACACUCAGUUUCUGGCUGCGCUGACUGGCAAACUCAGCAGAGGCCUGGAACAUGACCUUCAUCUAAGCUCUGUCACCUCCAGUGCACGUUGCUUCUGGAUCAAGGCUGAGGCAGGCGGGGGAGGCUCAGGCUGCUGCUCCUGAGAUAACUGGAAGGAUCAGGGGAGCUGGGUGAGUGCUCAGUCUAAACAAUGGCUUCAGAGUCAGGGCUGUGAUCAUACUCAAAUUAAUUUCAAAUAUGCACAGUAACACAAGAAGCAAUUUGCAUAAGACGUCACAUGGAGUUGCAUACAAUUUCGCAUAUUUAAACAAAGCACAAUAAAGCACAGCUCGGGCGGGUAUGUGAAAUCAUUUGUGCAGUGAACCGUGCACACAAACGACGUACAAUUAUCACCAAAGAAGAAAACAAAUGGCAGCAACCACCCAGGAUGCAAAGUGAGCUCAGAAGUUGUGAAAAAAACAGCUUCUUCCUUCAUCCAGCAUCCUGAUAGAUGCUUGGAGUCAGGUUAUCCUGCACUUCUUUUCCAGCAGGCCCUUCUGGUGCAAAGGAUGGUUCUCGCUGGUUCAUACCACUACUCACCCCUUCCUUCACAUUUGCAUCCUUGGCUUCAGCUUUGCUAAGCACUUUCUUCUGCAUCAUUCUUUCUGGGCUUUCCAGUGCAUAGAUUUCCAGGUGUGAGGGACUCUCCCCUCACCAGGCACUGCUCCAGUACCUGCUCCACGGGGUACUGUCCUUGCCCUUUAGUGGCAAAGGCUGGAGGCCAAAAGACUGGCUCUGGGAGCACAAGGGCAGGCUCUGACAGCCUCGUUUUUGGUGGUCUCAGUGCUGUGGUUGUUCAGAGCGCAAUCCCCAUGGCUUAGUUCUUGGUACCUCUGUAGCUCUCAUGGAGUGGACUCCAUCUCAGCUCCUGGAAAAUGAUGGCCAGACAACUAACAUAGGUAAGGAAGCAAGAUAAGGGAACAGCAUUCCUUAAGUGGGAAUGUAUCAUCCUUUGGAGCAGACAUCAGAGGGCUGAGACCUUUAAACCUGCAAAAGGGACUUUCAGCCCCUGACCUACAUUUUGUGACAGUCCUGCAUCUCUUAUGCAUGGGUUGGGUCAGCACUGUAGCAGUGAGGCUGAGCUCUGGGGGCUGACCCAUGAGCAUGUGCUUUCCCUUCCCUUCCCUCUCCAGGAGGCAGGGGAGGAUUCAACUGCAGCUCCUGAAACAGCUGGAAGGAUCAGGAGAGCUGGGUAAGUGCUCAGGCUAAAUUGGGGCUUCAGUGUUGGCAGCACCCUGGUCCCCAUGAGCUCCCAGAGCCCUGCUUCACCCACAUUGUCUUCAUUUACCCAGCACUUUCAAUGCCCCCAGCUCUAAAUUUCUAUUCUGAUCCCCGCCUUUGACCCUACUUCUCCUUCCAGCCCCAUCAUUAAAUCCUAGCCACAAUUUCUGGUUUCUGCCCACUCUCUCCUCACCCUGCCUUUUCCUGUCCUCCUUCAUAUCCCUUCUCCCUCAUACCUCUCUUUAGGCCUUUGCUUGACAGCCUCAGCUCCCUAUAUUUUAGUUAGGCAAUUUGUUCCUCUCUGCAGGACUGCCUGAGUAUGAACAAAGAACUGUCACCAAAACCCUGGAAGAGGCAGUGUUAUGCUUAGUCACCCUUUUGUCCCAGCUCUCCUCUAACUUGCAGGUACCAGGGGAAAAUCUGUCUCUUCCCCACAUCCUGCACUCAGAAUUACUGCACUGCACAGGGAGCUACAAGUAAGCUGGCCAAUGUGGGUAGAUACAAGAAACCCACAUUUAUCCAGGACAGUAUUUUUGGUCUUCAGUUUUAUCAUGGAGGCCCUGAUGCUGGAUAUAAGAGAAAUCUCAUUAUAAAGGAACCUCUUAGGGCUCCUGCUGUGUAUCCAGCCAACGCAGGGUGCACAGAGUGUUGGAUCUCAUCUGUGUGAUGUUUGUGUGAUUUGUGUAAUAUGUCACAUAAGGAAAAGAAUUGUCAAAGCAGAAAAAAAGGCAUGGGAGAGAAACCACUUUGGGCUUAGAUAACUCAUCCUGGUAUUGCCAAAUGUGUCUGAAUCCACAUAAUAAGACUGGCACAAACAUCCACUGUAGGUGUAUUUAACCACUGCAUUCAUGUUUUGGUUAAUUAACUCGUUCAGGCAAAACUGUGUCCUAACCUGGCUGGAUUGAUUCCCCUGACACUAGCAGAGGACACCCACCACUGACAGCCCCUUGGUUUGGGAAGUGAAAGCUUCUGCAGUCACUUUACCAAGGCUCAGGGAGCACCUGAGAGAAUCUGGAUGCCUGUGCUUCUGGUGCAUCCUUUCAUAGGCAAACUAACAAGGAAACCAACUGGCUCCCUAGCUAGGCCAGGCUGCAACUCAGAUUUGACCAGUGCAUGCUGUAGGCAUCACACCAUGUUCCUCUGAUAGAAAACAAGUCACCCCAGGCUUGUUUACUUGCUUGUUUGUUGAACCCUUGUGGUAUGUCCAGCUGUCGACAAAGUCUGAGCUUCAAACUAGACUGGCUGCCCUAGAGCAUCUGCUCUCCUGCCACUGGAGCGCUAACUAGGAGCACAGAGAGGCAGGACAGGGCCCUGGAGCAGGAACUGGCAUUUGCUUCCCUGCCAGAUCCCUUGUGAGGAUUGAUCUGAGGCUGAAGAUGGUUUUGCUUGCAUUCUGGUCACUCCCAGAGAAAGCUGGGCUUUGGAUCAAUGUGGAAUGCGUCACUGAAUGGCCUAUUAUUCACUGAGUGCAAUGUGCGCUCGGAGACACAGCAGCCCUCAAUAAAGAUUCAAUUCUGCCUCUAAGGAUCAAAGCAGGAAUGAACCAAGGGAACUACUCAACUCUUUUACAUGACGCUGAAAUGAGAGGUUGCUUGUUUCAGGGCGACUCUUUAUGGCAGUUUCAAGUUGUGCAUUUCUCCUAAUUAAAUGGCCAUCCACACAGCCAGGUCCCUUUAGUAGAGUGCAGAGCUACCUGUGAUUGAAGCUCUCCAUUCCCCCAGCCCAAAGGCUCACACUGGAGUUAGCACAGCUUGUCCACGCUGCCAUGCCCACUCCACACCCUCCUGGAGGAGCACAAGGAUGCCCACAGCCCCAGAGGUGUUUUCCCACCACUCUCCCCAUGCCCACACAGCGUUGGGAUGGCUCUCUCCCAAGGUGCGCUGCAAAGGAACACUAAGGAAUGACAUCCAGCAGCACAGGCCUGGAGAGGAGGGCAGAGCCAGAGCACAUGGGGUCCUAACUUCCAGCCACAACUCUGGAGAAGGUCCUGGAGCAGGGGAGGUGAGCAAGUGUUGUUGGUUGCUGCCACAUCCCUGCAAUACAGACUCUUCCAGCUGACAGUUGCCUGAUUUUUUUUUCCCCAUAAUGGGAUAAUUUAUAGCAGGUUAUAGAAGGCAUUCAGCUGGAGGGAAUCCCAGAUUUUGGAGAUGGUUUCAAAAUGUUUUUCUGAACUACUCUCUUUCCCAGGAAAUCGUAGCAGUCAGCAACACCUCA